AUUGAACGCUGGCGGCAUGCUUUACACAUGCAAGUCGAACGGCAGCACGGGCUUCGGCCUGGUGGCGAGUGGCGAACGGGUGAGUAAUAUAUCGGAACGUACCCAGAAGUGGGGGAUAACGUAGCGAAAGUUACGCUAAUACCGCAUACGAUCUAUGGAUGAAAGCAGGGGACCGCAAGGCCUUGUGCUCCUGGAGCGGCCGAUAUCUGAUUAGCUAGUUGGUGAGGUAAAGGCUCACCAAGGCGACGAUCAGUAGCUGGUCUGAGAGGACGACCAGCCACACUGGAACUGAGACACGGUCCAGACUCCUACGGGAGGCAGCAGUGGGGAAUUUUGGACAAUGGGCGCAAGCCUGAUCCAGCAAUGCCGCGUGAGUGAAGAAGGCCUUCGGGUUGUAAAGCUCUUUUGUCAGGGAAGAAGCGGUAGAGGCUAAUAUCCUUUGCUAAUGACGGUACCUGAAGAAUAAGCACCGGCUAACUACGUG
rnacentral:rRNA from 1 species